CCCCAAAGUGUGGGAUAACAACUCGAAAGGGUUGCUAAUACCGCAUGUGAUCGCUCGGAUUAGAUGCCUUGCGAUUAAAAGGUGCAAAUCGCUUUGGGAGGGACCUGCGUCCCAUCAGCUAGUUGGUAGGGUAAUAGCCUACCAAGGCAAUGACGGGUAGGGGACCUGAGAGGGUGACCCCCCACACUGGCACUGAAACACGGGCCAGACACCUACGGGUGGCAGCAGUAGGGAAUCUUGGACAAUAGGCGAAAGCCUGAUCCAGCAACGCCGCGUGCACGAGGAAGGCCUUCGGGUUGUAAAGUGCUUUUAGAAGGGAUGAGUAAGGACAGUACCUUCUGAAUAAGCCUCGGCGAACUACGUGCCAGCAGCCGCGGUAAGACGUAGGAGGCUAGCGUUAUCCGGAUUUAUUGGGCGUAAAGCGCGUGUAGGCGGUUUGGUAAGUUGGAUGUGAAAUCUCCCGGCUCAACUGGGUGAGGUCGUUCAAAACUGCCAGACUAGAGGAUGGUAGAGGAAGGUGGAAUUCCGGGUGUAGUGGUGAAAUGCGUAGAUAUCCGGAGGAACACCAGUGGCGAAGGCGGCCUUCUGGACCAUAUCUGACGCUCAGACGCGAAAGCUAGGGGAGCGAACGGGAUUAGAGACCCCGGUAGUCCUAGCUGUAAACGAUGUAGACUUGGCGUCGGUGGAGUUAAAUCUACCGGUGCCGCAGCUAACGCGGUAAGU
rnacentral:rRNA from 1 species